GGUUUAAUUCGAAGCAACGCGAAGAACCUUACCAAGUUUUGACAUCCUCUUGACCGGUCAGUAAUGUGACCUUUUCUUCGGAACAAGAGUGACAGGUGGUGCAUGGUUGUCGUCAGCUCGUGUCGUGAGAUGUUGGGUUAAGUCCCGCAACGAGCGCAACCCUUAUCCUUAGUAGCCAGCAGUCCGGCUGGGCACUCUAGGGAGACUGCCAGGGAUAACCUGGA
rnacentral:rRNA from 1 species